AAUGAACGUUGGCGGCGUGGAUUAGGCAUGCAAGUCGAGCGAGAAACUUGAGUUUGACGCUUCGGUUGAUUUCUCAAGUGGAAAGCGGCGAAAGGGUGAGUAACGCGUAGUUAUGUGCCCCAGGGUCUAGAAUAGCCUCGGGAAACUGAGGGUAAUGCUGGAUAAUAUCUCCGGAUCAAAGGUGUGAUUCCGCCCUGGGAGCAGACUGCGUCCUACUAGCUUGUUGGUGGGGUAAUGGCCUACCAAGGCAGCGAUGGGUAGCGGGCGUGAGAGCGUGGCCCGUCACACUGGGACUGAGACACUGCCCCAGACACCUACGGGUGGCUGCAGUCGAGAAUCUUCGGCAAUGCGCGCAAGCGUGACCGAGCGACGCCGCGUGUGGGAUGAAGGCCUUCGGGUUGUAACCACUGUCAGUUGGGAGGAAAUCCUUGGGGGUUCUCCCCCGUUGGUUGACCUAUCUUCAGAGGAAGUCCGGGCUAAGUUCGUGCCAGCCGCCGCGGUAA
rnacentral:rRNA from 1 species